rnacentral:rRNA from 1 species
GAUGAACGCUAGCUACAGGCUUAACACAUGCAAGUCGCGGGGCAGCAUGGGGGUUGCUUGCAAUCCCCGAUGGCGACCGGCGCACGGGUGAGUAACGCGUAUCCAACCUGCCCUUCACCACGGGAUAACCCGGCGAAAGUCGGACUAAUACCGUAUGUUGUGCAUUGACGGCAUCCGAUUUGGACGAAAGGUUUGGCGGUGGAGGAUGGGGAUGCGCCCGAUUAGCUGGACGGCGGGGUGACGGCCCACCGUGGCGACGAUCGGUAGGGGUUCUGAGAGGAAGGUCCCCCACACUGGAACUGAGACACGGUCCAGACUCCUACGGGAGGCAGCAGUGAGGAAUAUUGGUCAAUGGGCGUAAGCCUGAACCAGCCAAGUAGCGUGCAGGAUGACGGCCCUAUGGGUUGUAAACUGCUUUUAUGCGGGGAUAAAGUGGCCCACGUGUGGGUUUUUGCAGGUACCGCAUGAAUAAGGACCGGCUAAUUCCGUG